UACGAAGGGGGCUAGCGUUGCUCGGAAUCACUGGGCGUAAAGGGUGCGUAGGCGGGUCUUUAAGUCAGGGGUGAAAUCCUGGAGCUCAACUCCAGAACUGCCUUUGAUACUGAAGAUCUUGAGUUCGGGAGAGGUGAGUGGAACUGCGAGUGUAGAGGUGAAAUUCGUAGAUAUUCGCAAGAACACCAGUGGCGAAGGCGGCUCACUGGCCCGAUACUGACGCUGAGGCACGAAAGCGUGGUGAGCAAACAGG
rnacentral:rRNA from 1 species